UAGUACAGAAGGCUCCAAUUGAAAGUUGC
rnacentral:piRNA from 1 species